CGCGCCAGGCAAGUACAUCCCAGGGUUCCAACCAAACAACAUCCAGGCAACCUACAGGCAAGGUCCAGUCCAGGCAACUUUAGCCAGGGCUGCAUCCAAACAGACCCUAUCUUUUGCACCUAAGGCUGCAAGGGAGGGAUUGGAGACAGAUCGACAUACAUACUGAACAGUGAAGGGAACAAUGACAGCAGAUCAUGUGCUCUAGCUUUGCUACAGAAACAUUUCUUUUCUUGAGGUUACGUUCUUCAGUAGAUUCAUAGAUUCAUAUCACAUAAUGAUGGCUGAAUUAUUAGCAUGGGCCGUGGCUGAAGUAAUUUGACUGGCAUAUAUCAUUUUCUGCUAGCCUUCUCUUAAGCACUAAGAAACCUUACUGAAAUACACCUUUGCAUGUUAUCUAAAAGUCUGUUGGGCAAUUGUGCAGCUUAAGGGAGCGUGAGGAGGUUGCACCUGAUAAAAUUUGGGAUAUAGGGCAUGAAGCUGCCAAGCUGGCUUCCACGUUUUUUUUGGUAGUGUGCAGUUCAAGUUCAAACUACUUUUAUGCUAUCUGGUACUUUUCUAAGAGGUGGUUCUUAGUGCUUUACACACGGUGACCUUGGUAGGGCUUUAUCUAUUUUGAAAAGUCAUUUUAUACCUGCAGCUGUGCCUGUUCUUAGAAAGGUAUAGUUUGGAACUGUCCUGUUGAUAGAUUGAUAAUAUGAUAUGCACAUGCCUUGUUUUUUUUCUU